rnacentral:rRNA from 1 species
AGAGUUUGAUCAUGGCUCAGAUUGAACGCUGGCGGCAGGCCUAACACAUGCAAGUCGAGCGGAUGAAGGGAGCUUGCUCCCUGAUUUAGCGGCGGACGGGUGAGUAAUGCCUAGGAAUCUGCCUGGUAGUGGGGGAUAACGUCCGGAAACGGGCGCUAAUACCGCAUACGUCCUGAGGGAGAAAGUGGGGGAUCUUCGGACCUCACGCUAUCAGAUGAGCCUAGGUCGGAUUAGCUAGUUGGUGGGGUAAAGGCCUACCAAGGCGACGAUCCGUAACUGGUCUGAGAGGAUGAUCAGUCACACUGGGACUGAGACACGGUCCAGACUCCUACGGGAGGCAGCAGUGGGGAAUAUUGGACAAUGGGCGAAAGCCUGAUCCAGCCAUGCCGCGUGUGUGAAGAAGGUCUUCGGAUUGUAAAGCACUUUAAGUUGGGAGGAAGGGCAGUAAGUUAAUACCUUGCUGUUUUGACGUUACCAACAGAAUAAGCACCGGCUAACUUCAUGCCAGCAGCCGCGGUAAUACGAAGGGUGCAAGCGUUAAUCGGAAUUACUGGGCGUAAAGCGCGCGUAGGUGGUUCAGCAAGUUGGAUGUGAAAUCCCCGGGCUCAACCUGGGAACUGCAUCCAAAACUACUGAGCUAGAGUACGGUAGAGGGUGGUGGAAUUUCCUGUGUAGCGGUGAAAUGCGUAGAUAUAGGAAGGAACACCAGUGGCGAAGGCGACCACCUGGACUGAUACUGACACUGAGGUGCGAAAGCGUGGGGAGCAAACAGGAUUAGAUACCCUGGUAGUCCAA